rnacentral:lncRNA from 1 species
AUGGACAUGAAGCAGUUUCUGGGAAAUCCUGGAUCUCCUCUUGUUCCACAAAUCUUUCUUUUAGAAAGCUGACCAUUUAAAAUGGGCAUAUUCCACAAGGAAAAGCAUCCUUCCUUUGAUUUCCAUCAGAACAUUUACAAUAUGUUAAUAAUUGCCUACUAGCGACAAUAGAGCUCCCUUUACCAAAAUAAACAUAUUCAGAUUUAUCUGAUUGGACUUUGGUCAAUAGAUUUCAAACUGGCUCAUGCAAUGACUUGAAAUUUUAAGUUAAAUGGUCUGUGUACAUAUCUGCGUAUACACUCACAAUCAAAUGAUUUUUUUUUACUAGACUUGCAAGUCUUUUUUUAUGGAGCUGACACAAAUGCAAAUGGCUAUUUAACUUACUCAGAAAUAGAAAGUCUCCUAGGAGAAGAUGCCCCUAAAUGGGAGAAACUAAAGGCCUUUGAUAAGGAUAACAAUGAUAUGUAUUCCUACCUUGAGAUGAUCAGGGCUUUUGAACUGACAGAAUGAGAAGAUGAAGCACAGGAUCGAAAAAUAUGAAGUAAUGACAUCCUUUAAUUUCAUAAACAUUGCUGUAUAUUCAAUAUUUGACCUGUGAUGUUAUGAAGCUUUAUUAUAUCUCUUUUUAAAAAACACCAGCUCCUUUAUUUUCUCAAAAGAAAAGCAUUACCCUCAUUUUAUUGGUAUUGCUUUUGGAAAUAGUUUAUAAUUUCAUUCAUUUGGAUUCAGUGUUAUCUAAUUUUGACAUCUCAUAAUCAGAAGAAUGGUCACUUUCUGAUUAUCACUAUUGUUGUUCAGCCACAGCAAUUCACAAAAUGAUCUAAGGAGUAGUCUUGGUAUAUGUCCACAAAGGGUGAUACCCAAAUAGUUGUUCUGAAACAAUCCCACAAAAUCUAAAAGAAUCUAUGCUGGGAAUAGACAUCAUUAUAGGAAUAUGGCCAGAUGUGAUGAUUCUAAGAAUUGAUUUCUGAAAAAUCACCUAACUUGGAAAUUCUAAAUAUUAACAAUUCGCCUUGAUUUGCAUUUUGCUUUUUUGGAAGUUAGGCCAGAGAAUGAAGUGACUGCUCACCUUGGCAUACGUGAGAUUCCAGGUCUGCUGAAUUAUUUGUGCAUGUUGGAUUCCUCCCAUUAUAUGCAACAGGCAAACUCGGGACUUGUUGUAGACAUGAUAGUCAAACAACUUCAAUUUUUGAGUCUUUCCCAAAGUCUGCCCUGAAAUGCCUUUUCUUUUUAACCCACAUAUCAAAACACCUAAUAUCAAGUGAGAUUAUGAAAUGUGAUUCUGCAUAUGAUUAACAUUUUUCAUAUUUAAUGUGGCAUUAGCGGAAAUGUGCCUUCCCUCAAAUAUGUGUAUAUACACAAAUAUGUGUAUAACUAUAAAUG